CUUUCUUCCUCCUUUUCCUGAAUUUCUCUGAUGUUUCAUCUCCUUGCGUGCUUUAUACCAGAAAUUGCUCCCAUCCUCUCAAUUUCUAGCAUCCUCUCUCCUCUUUCUCCCUUAAUUUCCUCCCCUCCAUAUCUCCAAUUCUCAAUUACAUGAUGAGAAUCAGAAUUACUGGCGAUGGUAAUUCUCUCACGUACUUCACUCCAUCAAAGGAACUUCUGAGCUUUUUCCUCCAUUGAAGCAUCUUGCAAGAUAAGGCAUUGGGUUUGUGGAAUUUGGGGGUAAUUUCUCUCUGCUCCAUUGAAGGCUUGAAGUACGUACUCUGAAUUCUCCAUUGAUGCGGCUUCUGAGCUGUCCCAUCAGUUGAAGUAACUUCUGAGCGCGAUCACUCAAAAUUUGUAACAAGCAAAUUCCCAACAAUUUGAAUUCUUUUUCAAUAAGGCGAAGAAAAAAUGUCAGAGUUUCUAUGACUUGACGCUAAAGCGGGCAGGAACCACCUAUUGAUCAUCCAUGGCUAGGUAGCUUUUCUCCCUCUCAGCCUUUUUCUUUUCUGGUUUAGGGUUCAUGUAUUAAUGUUGAUGUUGCUUUACUACCACUGUCAUCUUGUCAUUAGUGGUGGUGGUGAUAGCAAUGGCGGUGAUGAUGACCAAUCUUCUCUGGUGUAUAAUUUCAUCUGGUGUAUGAUUAAUGUUCUGCUUGCUUGUUGCGGUUUGUCAACUUCAUAUCAUGUCAUUCCCUCUAGCUUAGUUGCUUCUAUCCAAGUAAAACUACAUCAUCAUUGACAAAUGGUGGUCCUUGAUAUUAGAGUUUCUUGGCUACAUAUUGAGAUUGAAAUUGAUUUUUUAAAUUUUUUUUUUAACAAUGAUUGAAUAUUGGAUUUGAUGAACGGGGUAUUAAUCAAAAGGGGGGUUUUACUGGACAUACUAGCAGCGAGCUUGCAAUGGCUGCUGUUAGAAGGGAUCUUAAGAGGAACAAAGGGGCAGGUUGGGCAGCUGCAUCUGGAGCUCAUCGUGCCACGUACUUACGUGCUAUCGUUGCAAAGGUAUGGAUUUCAAUGGCGUAUUUGAUCUGAUUUGAUAACACGAUCAUGCAUGUUUUGGUAAGUUUGUGUAGUUGGAGACUUGGAGUCACUAAUAUAUGUAGGACUUUAGAUACUAUUAGCGGAAUUGCAUGAAUCGUAUUCAUAAGCAUCUAAUCACAAGAUCUAUGCAUAACACACGAAGAACACAUAAUUAUACCUUUGAAGUGUGAUUCCACGAGUGAUCAAGCAAGAACAAUAAGGAGAACAAGAACCCCAAUCGUGAUUCCACUACUUGGUCCACGGGCAAGGAUUGAACCUCCACUAAUGCUAGUUAGUUGUGAUUGAACCCUUCAAUCAACCUUCUACAGAGAGGAGAGGGACAAACGAUCCACGAACCACCACCACCACCAUCGUGCGCCAUUAGGGGGCUGGCGUCCGUACUGUACAGAUAGAGGGGAAGAGAGAGAGAGAGAAAAGGGUGUGAAAGAGAGGGGAAGGAGUUUGGUUGCUUGCUUCACAAUCUACAACUUAGGUUAAUUGUGUCUUGUAUGCAUAACCUAGGCAAGGUCUCUAUUUAUAUAUCUCAUAUAUAAUUAGAGUCCAUGUGAGGCCUAAACUCCUAACCUAAUCCAAACUACUCUCGCCUUACUACUUAUGUGGUUUGUCAUUACCUCAUGAGGCUCAUGAAUGGGCUUCAUACUUUGUUCAAUCCAUAACCCUUGUGUGUGACCUUAUAGGAUCCAUUCUAUUGGGCUUUGGACUAUUUGACUAGCCCAAAUAUCAUUUAUCAUAUCUAGCAACAAACAAUAACGACCCAAAAUAAUGAACUAAUUAUCUCCAUAAUAAUGAUCUUUGAUAUAUCUAAUAAUUGCACUUGACGAAGACAUAAAUCCUUCAAUCUUCCACUUGUUUGAACAACUGU